rnacentral:lncRNA from 1 species
AAACUCAAAGUUGGAGGCAUGGAUACCUCUGAACCUCAUUCACGUGGUAUAGGAAAAAAAUAUGGAGAAUCUUCCAUCAAGGUAUUUGAGUGCUUUACUCUGCUCCUAAUUUUUUAAAUAUUUAAUUAGUGUUUAUGGUUUUAGUGAACUUGGCCUUGAAAUCUAGAAUAAUUUCUAUUAAAAUGGUAGGAGGUCAUUUUUAUGCAUUCUUGAACAAGUUGUAUAUAAUAAGUAUCAUCUCAGCACUCCCUCGUUAACUUUUAAGUAGGAACUGCUAGGAUUACUCUUUAAUUGACCAAAAAAAAGCAAAACUGAUUUGUAUUUGUACUGGUCUAAUAUGGUAAUGUCUUCUAAAAGAAAUAAUUUUAGAAAGUCAAAUAAGAAAAUUUAUACAAAUAUUAUCAAUAUUUAUUUAUCUUACUUCAUAAAAAAUUAUCAGUAUUUGUUUACCAACAGACAUCAAACAUUCAUAUACCAAACAGAUACCAAACAUUUCAUUCUAGUGACCGACUAUAAGUAAAUUUAUAUAGUAUAAAAAGAAUCAAGUAAUGCCAUCUAUCGUAUUGAUCAGACAACUAAAAAUAAAAACUUUAUUAUAUUUUUAGCUUGGUCUAGAUUCAUAUUUGAUUUUUAUCAUUUUACAUAGUCGCUAAUGAGUGGCAGCCUGAGCAUGUGGUCUUGUUAGUUUAGAGUACAAAAGUAAGCAGUUUUGUGAAAAAUUAACUUAAAAUUUUUGUUGUCACAUGGUAUAGAUUGUUGAGAUCCUUAAAGAUCGACCUUGUGUUGUUAAUUAGAAUUUGUUUUGAGGUUCUUUAUUUGUGUGUGUUGUGUUGGUUUCAAAGUCUGCACGCAAAACAUAUAAGUAAAUAAGGAACACAAUGCUUUGACAGUUAGCACUUACUAAAGUUGCCAGUGCAUGCUUUGUUGCUAAAUUUCAUAAGUUUCACUGGGAAUUCUUAAGUCUAUUUUAUGAUUAUUGAUUUUAAAGUAAUUGUGCAAUUAUCACACUAGUCAUAGCUUACGACUACAACAAAAGAAAUGCUAAUUUUGUGCUUUGAUUUGUUUUUUAUAAAGGUAGUGCAGUACACAAGGCAUAUAGUCCAGGAGACUAGUGGCGAGGUAGUAUAUGGCAUGAUAAGGCAAACAUCUAUUCUUUGAACGCUUGACCAGAGAUUAAGAAGUUGUUCAGAUAUCUG